CGCUCUUUGUAAAUAUAAAAUAAGGAGUCGUACCUGCCCGGUGAAAAAUUUAACGGCCGCAGUACCCUGACUGUGCAAAGGUAGCAUAAUCAUUUGCCUUUUAAUUGAAGGCUGGAAUGAAUGGUUUGACGAAAUUCUUCUGUCUCUAUCUUAUUAAAUAGAAUUUAAUUUCUAGGUGAAGAAGCCUGAAUGAAGUCAAAAGACGAAAAGACCCUGUCGAACUUUAGAGUAAUUAUAAAAUUAUAUGUUUUUUAGAAUAAAUGUUUUUUAGAAUUUCUCUUUUGUUGGGGUGACAGAAGAACAAAUAAAGCUUCUUUUAGUUGAGGAAACUUAUAUGUUGAAAAGAUCCAUAAAAAUUUAUGAUAGUAAGAUAAGUUACCGCAGGGAUAACAGCGUUAUUUUUCUGGAGAGUUCAAAUUGAAGGAAAAGAUUGCGACCUCGAUGUUGGAUUGGAAUACCUAAUAGGCGGAGAAGCUUAUUGUUGGGGGUCUGUUCGACCUUUAAAUUUCCACA
rnacentral:rRNA from 1 species